rnacentral:rRNA from 1 species
AUUGAACGCUGGCGGCAUGCUUUACACAUGCAAGUCGAACGGUAACAGGCCUUCGGGUGCUGACGAGUGGCGAACGGGUGAGUAAUGCAUCGGAACGUGCCCAAUCGUGGGGGAUAACGUAGCGAAAGUUACGCUAAUACCGCAUGAGCCCUGAGGGGGAAAGCAGGGGAUCGCAAGACCUUGCGCGAAUGGAGCGGCCGAUGUCAGAUUAGCUAGUUGGUGGGGUAAAGGCCUACCAAGGCGACGAUCUGUAGCGGGUCUGAGAGGAUGAUCCGCCACACUGGGACUGAGACACGGCCCAGACUCCUACGGGAGGCAGCAGUGGGGAAUUUUGGACAAUGGGCGCAAGCCUGAUCCAGCCAUGCCGCGUGCGGGACGAAGGCCUUCGGGUUGUAAACCGCUUUCAACCGAAGAAUACGCCAAGGCUAAUAUCCUUGGUGGAUGACGGUACCGGAAGAAGAAGCACCGGCUAACUACGUGCCAGCAGCCGCGGUAAAGU